rnacentral:rRNA from 1 species
AUUGAACGCUGGCGGCAGGCUUAACACAUGCAAGUCGAACGGUAACAUAAAGAAGCUUGCUUCUUUGAUGACGAGUGGCGGACGGGUGAGUAAUGCUUGGGAAUCUAGCUUAUGGAGGGGGAUAACUACGGGAAACUGUAGCUAAUACCGCGUAGAAUCGAGAGAUGAAAGUGUGGGACCUUCGGGCCACAUGCCAUAGGAUGAGCCCAAGUGGGAUUAGGUAGUUGGUGAGGUAAAGGCUCACCAAGCCGACGAUCUCUAGCUGGUCUGAGAGGAUGACCAGCCACACUGGGACUGAGACACGGCCCAGACUCCUACGGGAGGCAGCAGUGGGGAAUAUUGCGCAAUGGGGGCAACCCUGACGCAGCCAUGCCGCGUGAAUG